AUGUUUUAACAUCUAAUUACAUUUAAGCCCAUUGACACAAUUUCCAAAACCAUCUAAAUUCUUACCGUGUGACAAUGAUGAUGAGACUGGUAAUGGGAAUGCGAACGAGGAAUGGGCAUGACGACGAUGUGGAUGUGGAUAUGUGUGGACGAGGAUGCAGACGAAGAUGAGGAGGAUACUAGAUGCUAGAUGCGAAUCGAGGUGAUGAUGAUGGCGAUGAGUCAAGCCACGGCGGCGGCAAUAGAUAGUCACGGCCUGAGUACGAAAUCCGCAGAUAAUUAAGACAAUGCCACAUUGGCCGGCCGGCCAGACGGCACAGUGAGCAUCUCAGCCAGAAACCGAACAUUCGAACAACAUCGAGCAUCGACCACCGGCCACCGUAGAUAUAUCGUCGAGAUAACAGGGCUAAAAACAAAUACAAAAAGAAAAAAAAUCAAAAAAUUAAGCAAAAAACAAAACAAUGCCGAACCAGAACCAAAAUCAAAACUAGAAAAACGGGGACGGGACGAGAUGAAGGAGGUUGAGAAGGAGGCAGAGGAGUAGGAGGAGGAUGGCCCAAUCAACGAAAUCAGUGUGCGCAGACAGCGCAAAUUGUUGGCCAAUUAUUUAUGUAUUUUAAAUACUAGUUCGCUAAUCGGGCAUACGCGGCGUAUGCGCAACAUUCGAGUGCGAGUGCGAGUACGACAUGGCGUAUACGCAGUGUGGAC
ensembl:ncRNA lncRNA:CR44423 long non-coding RNA:CR44423